UAUGUUGUUAUUAUGUUAUUUACUCUGUUCUUAAAAAGAUUGGAACUUUUAUCAAUUUUUUAACCAAAGCUUGCAAAGGUAGGAUUUUUGUUCGAUUUGAUGAUAUGGGUUGUCAAGUUUCAUGAGAAUUUGGAGUGAAUUGGCCGAAAAUUUUAGAAUUUUAUUUGGUAUACUUGAAUUGGCUUUUGGGAUUUUAUGAGAUAGGAUUUUGAAGUGUUUUAUUGACUUUUAAUUUAUAUAGUCUUUGUUUGGAAAAUUUUGGGUGGAGAUGAAUGCACAGACAGCUUUCCGAGAAAAUUGAAGUUGGAAAGUUUGAUAGUCUCUCAUUUUGAUUGCUCAGUGAACUUAUUAUCUCUCAUUUUGAUUGUUUAGUAAACUUAUUAUUUCUCAUUUUGAUUGCUUAGUAAACUUAUUAUUUCUCAUUUUGAUUGCUUAAUGGAUCAGUAGGUUUUAGAUGUUAUUGGUUAGUAUUACAUGUAUGCAAACAUGAUGAAAGUGUGUACAUCCUUCUUGAGAAUUUUAAAUUUUGUGAUUGUUUGCAGUAGUUCUCUGAUUUUAGCUAUCAUUGGCAAUUAUGAAAUACAUUACAAGUCUUAUUAUCUGAUUUUGAUGAGAUUCAUUUGUUAGAACUUAAAGCUAGGACUGGUAUGUAUCUCUAUUCUCCAUGUUGGUUAAUUAAUGGUAGAAGCUCUCAGAUUAAGUUGUAAGUGUUUUUUGUUUGACAUGAUUUUGUUUUACUGUAUUUAUCACAUGACUAGUAGGUAUGCUGCUUGCACAUGUUGCUGAAACAGGGUUUUUAACGGGACAACGGUGCAUCCAACACUGUCACCAAUUCCCAAAAUCAGCAACAACAACUUAAGAACUUGCAGGCAGAUGGCUUGUUUAAUCUUUUUGCAGCAACUCCCCUUAACAGGUAACGAAAAAUGAAGUUAAAUGCUAGUUUUCCGUUUCAAAUUCGCAAUAAUAUGGCGCUCUGAUCAUCAUUUUUGUCUCGUUUGAACUUGGUCAGCAUUCUAAGUGCUUCGAGAGAAAUUGAUUAAUCUGCUUAUAUACUAAUUGUAGUUGUAUUUAGUCUAAAGCUGUUAAUUCCAUGUUCCUGAUGAUUUGUGUACAUUGUAGUCCCUCUUGCAAAAUGUUCUUUAGUAAAGACAAUUUGGGUGAAAGACUGCAAGAUUCAUCCAUUGAGUCCAUUAUAUCAUCCAAUACUGAUUUGAAAUCUAAAGAAAACUCUUUUUUUCUUCACAACAACAUAGCUCAUAUCAGGAGUCUUCACAAAUUGAGUUUGAACACAUCAACUCCGCUAUACGGUCAUGCUAGGAAUUAUAUAUUUCUUUUCUUUUUAGAGAACUUCUUUUAAGUAUGAGUUCCCAGAAAAUUUAUUGCCGAUGAAAAACAUUUGUACUAUUUUUCACCUAUUUUGUGUUACUUCUGUGAUAUAGUCAUUUGCAGUAGAUAUAUCAUUUAUCCUAUUGUCGUUCAAAAGGUUCCUCCGAGAAUUCAUAUUCUCUCAAAUGCAAAGCUUGACUCGCCCUUGCGGAAGGUUGCCAAAAGUUUUUCAUUUUGUAGACUCUGGUAAACAUAGAAAAAGACUAACUGCUUAUGUUUUUAAUUUCCAAUCAGGUGCAGCAUUUGAAACUGAAUUUCAAGCGGCAGUUCAAAAAAUAUGGUGACGACGAAAUACCCAUUGGAGAGUUGCUUGAAAAACUGAUGAGAGACGCGGAUAGAACUGAGAUAAACUGGUUGCCUGAAAUUUGUUAGCGCAACGGGCAGCAUCAAGGUUUCUUUCUUGAUGAAAUUGUAACCUUCACCAUGGUGUCCUUAUUUUUGGCUUUAAAUGCUGAAUUUGAUAAUUUUUUGGCUGCUAGGAUCUUCAUAUCAUGUAAUUCGAAGAGAAUACAGGGUUCCUGUUAAUAAAAAUAUUUCAGAGAUCCAA